rnacentral:piRNA from 1 species
UGAUCUGGUGAGUUUCAAUUCUUUGAC